rnacentral:lncRNA from 10 species
CCAGGGCAACAGGGCCGCCCUCCCGCCUCGCUGAAGCCCGCGAGCGCCCCGCACAGCCGCCCUCCCUGCCCGCGCCUGCGCACCGGCUGCUGGGCGGGAACUGGUCGCGUCCGGACGCGCGACAGCUUCCACCCGCCUCAGGCAGUAUCAGCCGCGCCGCAGUCGGAGGAAAUAGACGCGGGGCCUGAGGCUCCUGGACUUGAGAGGCUGCAGAAAAGGCCCAGGAGGCUGUUGAUGACAUGAACGACCACCAGGAGAAGCUGGAGCAGGCUGAUGCACAGAAGGGCGGAGAAGAGGGACACGUGCCAGACAACAGCUGCAGAGGGCUCCAGGCAGACGGAGUUCCAGAGCGAACGGUCAUACAGAUAAUUCCUAUCCCAAAAAAUAAGGAGACCAGGGGUCAGGCGAUAAGUAAGGAAAGCCAAACAGGCAACCCCAGUAGAAAACUGGGGUCUCCCCUGACCGGGUCAUGGGACUGGGCUCAUGAGGGUGACCGUUACUGCUCCAUUUGCAAUUUUCUGAGUAUCAGAGGAGCAAGAUGCUAGGAUGUGUGACCCAAAGGAGCUUGUAGUUCGUCUGUGUGUCUUUUUGUCUCUCUCUCUCUCUCUGUCUGAAAAGACCAAGCCCAAGCCUCCACCCAUUUACCUACUAUGCAGGUCUUUGAAUGGGUAACCAUAUUUCCAAGCUUGUGUCUGAUUGAAGGAUGAAACAUCAAACAUGCAAAAAGGACCAUCUUUCAGAGCAACUCCAGAAGUGACAAAGCAAAUCAGGGCUCCAAGUAAAGCCAGGCCACCUGACAACAGAGCAGUAAGCACCUGCGGAGGGAGGAGAAACACUGAGCUAAGACGGGGUCGCAGCUGGGGAGCCUGCGGAGGGAGGAGAAACGCUGAGCUAAGACGGGGUCGCAGCUGGGGAGUCUGUGGGGCGGUCUGCACAGGUCUGACUUCUCUGGUCUCAGUGUUCUUCCGUCCUGUCAUGGGGGAGAAUUCUGUCCAUGGCACCCCCUUUGAAGCAUAACCCAUGGUGGGGAGGCCGUGAGGGGUUUCUAGGAGAGAAAGGACCAAGAAGCAGAAUCGCAGGCCCCGGAUCUCCCUGACCGUGAGUUCGCCUGAGCUGCUCAGCAGCUUGGCAUCACAAACCUUUUGCACAUUACAGCCAUUCAGCCUCUGAGCUAAAGAAGAAGCUACCACAGGCCCACCACUGACUCUUCUAAGGAAAAGCUGCAUUUUCAAAAGUUCCAGGUUCCCAACUCUGAUUCUUCUCUAUUUCAAAUCAAGGAUAAAAAAAAGGAAGGGAGGGAAGGAAGGAAAGAAAGAAGCAGGAAAGAAGGGAAGGAGAGAAGUGGGAGGGAGGGAAAGAAGGGAGAGAAACAGCGAGAGAGAAGCUGCAGCCAAGCUCUGAAAUGACUCCACUUCUGUCGCUGUGUUUCUCCAGCUGAGAGCUUUCUUGGCCAUCAGUCUGUGCUCCCACUGCCCUCCCAGAAAAUAACUGGGUUUCCUUCCUUGACAGGUUUCUAGCCUGCUUCUACAUUGGCUUCUUUCUCGUUCCUUCCUUCCUUCCCUUCCUUCCUUCUUUCUCUCUCUCUCUUUCUUUUUGAGACAGAGUCUCACUCUGUCGCCCAGGCUGGAGUGCAGUGGCACGAUCUCAGCUCACUGCAACCUCUGCCUCUGAGUUCAAGCGAUUCUCCUGCCUCAGCCUCCCAAGUAGCUGGGACUACAAGCAUGCGCCACCACACCCAGCUAAUUUUUGUAUUUUUAGUAGAAAUGGGGUUUCACUGUGUUGGUCAUGCCGGUCUCAAUCUCCUGACCUUGUGAUCCACCUGCUUCAGCCUCCCAAAGUGCUGGGAUUACAGGCAUGAGCCACCGUGCCCGGCCCAUAUUGGAUUCUUUCUUAGGGUUCUAGAUUUUUUUCUCCCUCCCCCAAAAAUGCCUAUUUUAAAAAUGUGAAUAACACCUACAUAGCGUUUUUCUGCAGAGUCAUGGAGUCAUUCUCCCACUGAGGUCAAGCUGGUUUGGAGUUGGGGAGGGAUCAGACAAAGGUGCAUAGUAAGUUUUGACUCUGAGUUAAAGGAGUCAAGAUGAAUCAGUAAGCCUAGGGCAGUGGUUCCCAAAAUGGGGUCCCUGCCCAGCCGCAUCACAUCACCUGAGAACCUGUUAGAAAUGCAAAACUUCCCCGCCAUCCUGAAUCAGAAACUCUGGGGAGGGAGCCCAGCAAUCCGUGUUCCGGCAAAAGCCCUCCAGGUGAUUCUCAUGCACAUUCAAGUGUCAGAACUACGUGCCACGGGGAAAACCAGAAUGAGAACAGACAGUGAAUGAAAUGUGCAAGUGUUUAUAUGAAAGCCUGAAACUGGAAAGAUGAAGCAACUUGCCCAAGAACUUAGCGUUACUGAGGGUCACAGUGAGGACCUGACUUCAGGCCCCAAGACCAAAAUUGCCUCUUUACCGCCCUGCCUCUAGAGUAAUAGAGGUGGAGACAUUCUGGGUGUUAGAAGAGUGGAAUCUGGUGCUUACGCUUCGACAGAGCCCACUCUUACUGAAGCAGCCGUAUCUCCAGCCCAUCAAGGAGAUGAGGAUAGCUGCAGUGAGUACCUGCAGGAGAGAGAAGAAUGUUGAGAUGGGGAAAUCGACUUUGCCGGCUGUUUCUAGGUGCUGCCCACAGCUGUUAGAGUGGCUGGCAGCUCACAUGAACGCAGUCCUGUUGACUCUGACUCUGGGGACCCACAUUUGUAUGACGAGCCUGAUCUAACGCUGUGGAUGUUAACUUUCACACCCGACCUGCCUGGUCCCAAGCUAGGCUUCCUGUCUCUUAGAGCUUCUACAGACCCAAGAUCAGCUUGUUAGAAUAAACUUUUCUGCAAGGAAUCAAAACACUCUUCCCAUGCCACCUUCCUGCUCCCCGCCGGGGUCUCUUUGAGAGUUCACGUUCAGGGAACCCCGGACACUUACCAUGAGGCCUCCUCCCCAGAGCCCAGUUCCCAGCAUGGCAUGCCUGCCAAGGAGGCCCCUCAACAGGUAGGUGACAUCCCAGUUAGGAAGGAGGAGUGCCACGUUGGCCCCAGCAGCAAACAGGGCUGCAGUCCCAAGGCUCAGUCCCAGGAUACGGGAGCAAGUCCGUGAGCUUGCCUGCGUGCAGGGAGAGGACACCAUCCUGGAACAGAUAGAAAGGGAGUCGCAGCAGCUCUGCUGUGGGGGGAUGGGGAAGGGAACUCCAGCAGCAUAUCAUGGGUGAGGGAAACAGACUACAGAAACCGCCACCUUCCAGGGUCAGACCAAUGAGAGCCAAGCAACCUGCUUAAAAACUCUGCUCCUUAGGAAUCUUCCCCAGUGACUAGGAUUUAAUUGUUUCCUUUUCUGCUAACCCCUGUUCACACAUACAUAGUUUGCAUUCCAUCAUAUUUUGUUUAUGCCUCUAUUACAGCCAGUGAUUAUUUCUGACAAAAAGAAAUGUUUAAAGGUGUCUUCAUGAUGUCCAUUGUCUCCACUUCUAUUCAACGUUGUACUGGUCCUGGCCAGUGCAAUACGAAAAUAAAAGGAAGCAAAAGCCACACAGAUAGGAAAGAAAGAAGUAAUAUUGUCGGCCAGGCAUGGUGGCUCAGGCCUGUAAUCCCAGCACUUUGGGAGGCUGAGGCAGGCGGAUCACGAGGUCAGGAGUUCAAGACCAGCCUGGCCAACAUGGUGAAACCCCGUCUCUACUAAAAAUACAAAAAUUAGCUGGGCACGGUGGUGGGUGCCUGUAAUCCCAGCUACUGGGGAGACUGAGGCAGGAGAAUUGCUUGAACCCGGGAGGCAGAGGUUGCAGUGAGCUGAGAUCAUGCCACUGCACUCCAGCCUGGGUGACACAGCAAGACUCCAUCUUAAAAAAAAAAAAAAGUAACAUUGUUAUUAUUCACAGAUAAUGUGAUCACAUUAUGUAGAAAAUCCUAAAGUUUAUUAGAAUUAACAGGUGAGUUUAGCAACGUCAUAGAAUAAAAGAUUAAUAUACAAAAAUUAUAUUGUAUUUCUAUAUACAAGCAAUGACAAAUUGAGGAUUGAAAUUAAAAUAUAUCAUUUACAAUAGCAUAAAAAUAUAAUACAUAUGGAUGAAUUUAACAAAAUAUUUGCAAGACCUAUAUAGUAAGAAUUGCAAAGCAUUGCUGAGAAAAUUAAUGGAGACCUAAAUAAAUGGAGACAUAUACCAUGUUCCUGAACCAGAAGACUCAAAAUAGUUAACAUGUUCUCCCUAAAUUGAUGCAAAGAUUUAAAGCAAUAUCAGUCAAAAUCCUAGGAGAGUUUUGUUAUAGAAAUUGACAAACUGAAUCUAAAUUUAUAUGGAAAUGCAAAGCAAUUGUGAAGAUUAGCCAAAGCAAUUCUGAAAAACAAACAAAGCUGGAGAACUUACGCCAUGUGAUUUCAAGACUUACAAAGCUACAGUAAUUGAAGACACUGAAGCCACGCGUAAGGAAACACAUAUGGACUACUGGAACAGGCUGGAGCUCAGAAACAGACCCGGUCCAGGAAAAAUGAUUUUUUUUUUUUCUUGAGACGGAGUCUCGCUCUGUUGCUCAGGCUGGAGUGCAGUGGCGCGAUCUCA